rnacentral:rRNA from 1 species
GACAGAGGAGGCAAGCGUUGUUCGGAAUCAUUGGGCUUAAAGCGCGCGUAGGCGGCCUUGUAAGUGACUUGUGAAAUCCCACGGCUCACCCGUGGAACUGCAGUGAAAACUGCAAGACUUGAGGUCGGUAGAGGCGCCUGGAACUCUAGGUGGAGCGGUGAAAUGCGUAGAUAUCUAGGGGAACGCCGGUGGCGAAAGCGGGGCGCUGGGCCGAUUCUGACGCUGAUGCGCGAAAGCGUGGGGAGCAAACAGG